GACGUAGGGCGCGAGCGUUGUCCGGAUUUAUUGGGCGUAAAGAGCUCGUAGGCGGCUUGUCGCGUCGACUGUGAAAACCCGCGGCUCAACUGCGGGCCUGCAGUCGAUACGGGCAGGCUAGAGUUCGGUAGGGGAGACUGGAAUUCCUGGUGUAGCGGUGAAAUGCGCAGAUAUCAGGAGGAACACCGGUGGCGAAGGCAGCUCUCUGGGACGGUACUGACGCUGAGACGCGAAAGCGUGGGGAGCGAACAGG
rnacentral:rRNA from 1 species